GUUUGUAGACAAUACAAUAAAAUACUACUUACUCGGGCAGGGUAAUACUCAGCCGGUCAAUCUGUACUUACCGCUAGUAAAUCGGGCAUUGUAAAGCCGCGCCGAGUUUCAAACUGAUGCAUGCACGUAUUCUGUCCGUGAUAUUCCGCAAUAUUAUUUCAUUCGCACAAUAAUUACGGUUUAUUAGCUUGAGAUAAAUUUAACGACGGGUAACUCCGUAAUCAUAUACGAUAUGAGAAUCGUUAGUAAUAUUUAAUGCAAAAGUUCAAUGCUGUGACGUUUGUCAUAGCGCACUCGCGUAAAUUGCAGUAACGUUGUGUCGCGAAUUUAAAAUUUUAAGCGAACAGAACGAAUGAAGCGCCGGAAAAAAACGUUUUCGAAAGUUAAUAAGUUUGCGAAACCAUUAAAAUCAAAAUACCAGAUGUAGACAGUGCGCAAAGUGACCAGUGAACUACGUUGUACUCAU